GACAUCUUGGGUCUCAAUGUAAAGCACGUCAUAGGUGCAAUAAAUGUCAUGAGUUCCAUAAUACAAAAGAUUGCACAGUAAAUGAAUAUACUCCAACUUGUUUCAGCUGUCAAGGUAAUCAUUUGACUACACACCUAAGUGCAUGUCCUGAAUUCUCUAGACAGAAACAAAUUAAGAAUACUAUGUCAUCAUUAAAUCUAAAUUUCUUUGAUGCAUGUAAAAAAA
rnacentral:lncRNA from 1 species